rnacentral:rRNA from 1 species
GGACGGGUGAGUAAUGUCUGGGAAACUGCCUGAUGGAGGGGGAUAACUACUGGAAACGGUAGCUAAUACCGCAUAACGUCGCAAGACCAAAGAGGGGGACCUUCGGGCCUCUUGCCAUCGGAUGUGCCCAGAUGGGAUUAGCUAGUAGGUGGGGUAACGGCUCACCUACGCGACGAUCCCUAGCUGGUCUGAGAGGAUGACCAGCCACACUGAAACUGAGACUCGGUCCAGACUCCUACGGGAGGCAGGAGUGGGGAAUAUUGCACAAUGCGCACGAGCCUGAUGCAGCCAUGCCGCGUGUAUGAAGAAGGCCUUCGGGUUGUAAAGUACUCUCAGCGGGGAAGAAGGCGAUGAGGUUAAUAACCUGGGCGAGUGACGUUACCCUCAGAUGAAGUAUCAGCUUGCUGCGUGACACCAGCCGCGGUAAUACUGAGGCUGUAAGCGUUAAUCGCAAUUACUGGGGGUAAAGCCCACGCGGCCAGACUGUUUAGUGGGAUGAGAAACCCGCGGUCUCAACCUGUUAACUGCCCUCGAAUUUGGCACCUCUAGAGUCUUGUAUAUGCGAGGUAGAAUUCCCUCGUGUACCCGUAUAUAUGCAUAUAUAUCUGGAGGUAAUACCCGUUCGCCGAGGGAGGCUCCCCUGGCACAUAGACUGAUCUCUGACGUGCGAUAUUGUGAGGCAGCAAACAGGAUGAGAUCCGCGUGUUUCUCACUCCGCCAUUAAACAAAGUCGACUGUGGAGGCUUGUACCC